UGAGCAACCUGCCCUUAGCUCUGGGAUAACCCCGGGAAACCGGGGCUAAUACCGGAUACGAGUCCGAGCGGCAUCACACGGACUGGAAAGUUUUUCGGCUAAGGAUGGGCCCGCGGUCUAUCAGCUUGUUGGUGGGGUAAUGGCUCACCAAGGCGACGACGGAUAACCGGCCUGAGAGGGCGACCGGUCACACUGGGACUGAGACACGGCCCAGACUCCUACGGGAGGCA
rnacentral:rRNA from 1 species